rnacentral:ribozyme from 1 species
AGCAAUACAGCACUGAUACGGGUAUGGUCCGACACCUCUUGAAGGUUAAUAUUCUCCAUACCCUACUCCGACUCAAUACGUUCACAGAACGGUGUACGGCGUACAGAACGGUAACAUAUCUCUCCAAUGAUCUGAGCUUGGGUACACGGGGAAACCCAACCCCUUGGGAGGAUGGGUUAUAUGGCUAAAUUGAGCGGG